UUCAGCAUACUUCCCUGACUGACGUUUACUGGUGCUAUAUUUCUGCUCAUUUUAUGAAUGAAUUCCAUGCAGAAAUACAACACUGUAUUCAUUCAUAAUUAUACCAAGUUGGCAACGCCACUAUUUUACUAUCGUUUUUACACAACACAUUCGCACAGAUGCAUGCACACACCAGCUGCAAAUUUUUUAUAUAUGGAGUUAAUUUUUUGACGUCCAUAACCAUACUGUCAAACUCCAUGUAAAAAAAAAUUGACAGUGUGUAGAUGCACACGCCUGUACAAAUUUGGCAUGCAUUUUUACAAAUCCUAUAAACAUCACACAAAGCACAUGCACAAGGACUGAAGACAACAUCAAAUUAAUAACAUUAAUAAUAAGUACAAAACCUACACUAAAUAAGAAAAAUUACAGUAAAAAAAAACAAUUUCAAACAAAAUUCUACACACAAACACAACAAUUGAGACUAAAUUACAAAACAAGCCCAAGAAAAGCUAAAUCGCCAACAAUAAGCAGAAGUGGCACAGGCCGGGUGUUGGAACUCAUUUUAACCCGCAACAAAACUCCGGGAUUACAAAGUGUACGAAUGGAGUGCCGGUGUGCGGGGUAGCCUCCUUUCCGCUAAUGAUCCGCAUACGCGCAGAUUCUAGAUCUGAUAAAUUAAUAAAUCUCGUAUGUUAUAUUGUAACGCCAAAUGCAAACGUGGGGAACUCCCACACCCUGAUGAGUCUCCAGCCGGGCAAUAUGGAAUACUGUUUCUGAUUGCUCUGUUUCCGGAUUACUUGACUCCGUAUACUGGUGUGACUUUUACAGAUGAAAUACUGGGGCAGUUAAUGGCAUGAAUUAUGAUUGAAGUUGUUGUCUUAAAAAAUUCGGACCCCAGAGGUAGUUCCUACAACCGGGAAAUAUUUCAAGAGUGAAAGUAGGCAGGGUUCCUUUACCAGUGUUUCCUGUUGAAUUCAAUGUAAUUACUUUUCUGUACACUGUUUAUUAUAACACAAGACAUUAAUAAAGAACUCACUUGUAAAUAUU